AAAAAAAAAUAAUCUGGGCAGGUGAGAAAAUUAGUCACAGUGUAAACAUUGCUUCACAAUGGCCAGGAUACAUGAGUGGAUCCUGGGAUGACUAGGAAGCUUGAGGGUGGCCCAUGCUUGGCCUUACUGCCGCCCACAGCAAGUGGCAAUUUACUAAUAUAAAUUCACCUGGGCUUGGAGCAGGACUGUUUACACUGAGGCCAGGACCGGAUGGGCUGCCCACAUCAUAGAGCAGAAGAUAGUUCUGAGACCACAUUCUUCAAAGUUCUUCAAAAGGCCCUGGAAGGAUCGAGCACCAGUCGCCCACAGCAGGGACCAGCUUCCAAAAGAAUCCUCGCAUUGACUCUCCUCUUUCCUCAUUCACUCUCCUUGUCCCUCACUGCUCCCUGAGAUCACAUGACAAGUCACCUGCAUAAAGGCCUUUACCUGAGGCUCUGCUUUGGGGAAAGCCCAAGCUAAGACACUGUGCUUGUUCAUUUGUCAUGAGAAACACUGUUGUCAGACACAAACUGCUGUGGGUUAUCCAGAGGCAAAAUUGCAUGUUAGUAAAAACACCUAACUCUUA